rnacentral:misc_RNA from 1 species
GAAAUGCGAUAAGUAGUGUGAAUUGCAGAAUUCAGUGAAUCAUCGAAUCUUUGAACGCACAUUGCGCCCUUUGGUAUUCCAAAGGGCAUGCCUGUUCGAGCGUCAUUUGUACCCUCAAGCUUUGCUUGGUGUUGGGCGUCUUGUCUCUAGCUUUGCUUGAGACUCGCCUUAAAGUAAUUGGCAGCCGGCCUACUGGUUUCGGAGCGCAGCACAAGUCGCACUCUCUAUCAGCAAAGGUCUAGCAUCCAUUAAGCCUUUUUUUCAACUUUUGACCUCGGAUCAGGUAGGGAUACCCGCUGAACUUAAGC